GACGAACGCUGGCGGCGUGCUUAACACAUGCAAGUCGAACGGCAAGGCCCUGUUUUUGUGGGUUUCUCUAGUGGCGAACGCGUGAGUAACACGUGAGUAUCCUGCCCUUGACUUUGGGAUAACUUCCGGAAACUGGGGCUAAUACCGGAUAGGAGCUCCUGCUGCAUGGUGUGGGUUGGAAAGUUUCGGCGGUUGGGGAUGGACUCGCGGCUUAUCCGCUUGUUGGUGGGGUAGUUGCUUACCAAGGCUUUGACGGGUAGCUGGCCUGAGAGGGUGACCGGCCAAAUUGGGACUGAGAUACGGCACGGAGUCCUAAGGGAGGCAGCAGUAGGGAAGAUUGCACAAUGGGCGGAAGCCUGAUGAAGCAACGCCGCGUGAGGGAUGACGGACUUCGGGUUGUAAACCGCUUUCGCAUGUGACGAAGCGUGAGUGAAGGUAAUGGAUAAAGAAGCACCGGCUAACUACGUG
rnacentral:rRNA from 1 species